rnacentral:tRNA from 1 species
GGUCCCAUAGUUGAACUGGACACAACGGGGGAUUCCUAAUCCCCAGGUCGAGGUUCGAGUCCUCGUGGGAUCACCA